AAACCCUAUAUAUUACUUGUAUAUUGUGUGUGUGUGUGUGUGUGUAUACACACACACACACACACACACACAAUAUACAAGUAAUAUAUA